GACAGAGGGUGCAAACGUUGUUCGGAUUUACUGGGCGUAAAGCGCGUGUAGGCGGCUUCGUAAGUUGGAUGUGAAAUCCCACGGCUCAACCGUGGACGUGCAUCCAAAACUACGUCGCUGGAGUCUCGGAGAGGAAGGUGGAAUGCUUGGUGUAGAGGUGAAAUUCGUAGAUAUCAAGCAGAACACCUGUGGCGAAGGCGGCCUUCUGGACGAUGACUGACGCUGAGACGCGAAAGCGUGGGGAGCAAACAGG
rnacentral:rRNA from 1 species